UGAGCAAUCUGCCCUUCUCUUCGGAAUAAGCGUUGGAAACGACGUCUAAUGCCGAAUACGACCUCCUUUCGCAUGAUCGGAGGUGGAAAGCUCCGGCGGGGAAGGAUGAGCUCGCGGCCUAUCAGCUAGUUGGUGUGGGUAAUGGCCCACCAAGGCGACGACGGGUAGCCGGCCUGAGAGGGCGACCGGCCACACUGGGACUGAGACACGGCCCAGACUCCGUACGGGAGCAGCAGG
rnacentral:rRNA from 1 species